rnacentral:tRNA from 1 species
UGGCAAGGGAUGGGAAUCGAACCCACGACCUUCCGCUUACCGGGCAGAUGCCAUGACCACUAGGCUACCCUGGACC